AUGCUUGAUAAUCAUAUGCUGAAUGCCGCCGGCUUGAUUCUCAUGCCAGCCUCAGCAGAACGACAGGUUCAAAUCCGGUCAAUGCCCUGCUGAACUUCAGUUGUGGCGUUGUGUGUGCUGCCUGACGAUCUUCAAGCCUGACACGUCUAUGCAUAAGCACAUCUUUCUUCUCUUCAAGAGCAGCUCAAUCCUCGCCGGCUACUCGGAUCCCUUGCUGCUGACUGCUCGCCAUGAUUUUAAUGGCAUGGCUCAAACGAUGGCAACUUCUAUUGACCUCCCUGUAACGCCCCCGCGCGUGCUGUGUGACGGCACACGUACCUGAUUGGCGUUGAUCUCUUUGGUGUCCUGGUUUAGAGGUGUCCAUUUGGUUUCAUGUGGUACUCUGUCAAUGCCUAGAGAGAUACACGGUUAAUGUGGAGAUCAUCUUUCUUUUUAGAACGUGGAAAUUUUUAUUGCUCAAAAUCAAAUCGAUUUCCUUUUUCUGCCUACUAUGUUUAUACUGCCCUUGAAUUGAACUUUCUACACAACGUCAUAAUGUAAUAAGGAUCUGGGUGUUUAGUUCCCCGUACAUAUAGGUGCCCGUUAUACUUCUUGCCAAUUAGGACAACAGAGUCUACUUCCUAUUUAAUUACUCCCUCCAUUCUCUUUUUAGGGUUAUUUCCACAUCUGAAAAAUUCACUUUUGAUAUUCCUAUUUCAAUCCAAAUGUCCAUCCAUUUAAUAGCUAUCUAGUGUUUAACGUGCGACCCUUCAUUCUUCCACGGGGGAUUGGCUACGUGGGUAUCAAGAAGCCGGAGCCUUAAUGAAUUGCUCGUCUACGAGG
rnacentral:lncRNA from 1 species